AUAAUACUCCUUCCGUCCAAAAAUACUUGUCCGAGGAAUAGAUGAAUCUAGAUGUAUUUUAGUUCUAAAUACAUCCAUUUGUAUCCAUUUCUCCGACAAGUAUUUUCGGACGGAGGAAGUACGUU
rfam:Triticum aestivum genome assembly, contig: Triticum_aestivum_CS42_TGACv1_scaffold_570606_7AS